CCCCUCUCAUGGUCGCACCUGGAGAGUUUGCAGUAGUAUACCAGUCUUGGUGAUGGGAGGGAGAGUCCAGCAGAGGCCUACCCAUUCCAUUCCUAGCGUGGGCAGUGGCUAGCGAAUGGAAGGCAAUCUGCUACAAGU